GAAGGGAGCAGGGGAGGCAGAACAGGAAGGGGAAAGAAGCCAGGCAGAGGUGCAACUUCAGGCCAAGUCUGCAGCCUGAUCCUGCAGGAAACUCUGGGAUAAGACAGACCUCCGAGAAUUGUCCCAACCCAAGGAGUUGGGCUUUCAAUCCUGUAUUAGUCUGUCCUUGGUUUGUCUCUGUGGGACAGAUGAAACAGCAGAGAUGAAGAAACCCAGGCUCAAGAAGAUUAAGCAAUUCCCCCAGUGCCCCACUGGGUGUGUGGGGGCAGGUCUGGAGCCCAGGCAAUCUGACUUUAGGGCCCCAGUCUUUGCCCCGCCCUGACUCUAGACGCCUGCCUCACUGACAUGAGGACACUGAUGCCGGGAGCAGCCUGCAGGGCUCACCCAGCUGGUAAGCAGCAAGAAGGAAUUGGGACACAGUUCUUGCCAAACCGCUUUUCCAUCUACGCUUCCAUUUGCUGCAGCCCCACAAGGACCCGGCAGGAAGCACAGAGCAUGUCCCAGAGAAGGAUGCUGUGGCCAGUAAAACUGCACAAUGAUGAAGACUGAGGAUCGGGGUUCCCCUUUACUGCUUCCCUGAAAUGCCACAAAACAUCCUCUCUCCUCUCUUCUUCUUCAUGGAGCAGGAAAGUGUAUGUGGCUGAGCAAGGACUGCAUCCUAGGCACGGGAAUGGGCAGAGAUAUUUGCACUUAAAGGAGAGGAAAACCCUAAAGACAACACGGCAACUGAAAAAGAACAAUUUCUAAAAAUAUCAACGUUUUUGCUUCUCAAAACCCACGUAAGGCUCGAUCUGUCAUGUAGCGAGUUCGCCACGGUCCCUGCUCAGCUCCCGCUGAGACUGAGUGCACAGUGGGUCUCUGGUGAGGCGGAAGAGCCGUGGGCAGAGAGGUAGUUGGGAGAUUCAUUUGAAGAAUGAGAGGAGGGCCUCGGCCUCAGACGUCAGCUACUGACGACAUAGGGAACUUACGCAGAACAUGCAUUCUGCUUCCAUACUUUUGGCCAAAACCACCUGAACGCAGCCUCUGCUCCCAUCAGACUGAGAAUUGAUGUGAAAGAGAAAAUGAAUCACCUGCGUGGGCUCCCUCCUGCCUUCCCAGCCACCUGACCUUUGAGAAAACUCAUUGACAGCCCUUCUCUGCUCUUAAAUUCUAACUCCCUAUGGAGGCCAACGCAGACCCUGUUUCUGCUGCAGCCUCCUUCAUGCUAAUUUCCCCACUGUGAACCCUCUGCCCCAGGCAUGGAACUUCUGUCAUUUCCCCAGACCCAGUGAUGGGCUUCCGCAUGUGCAGCUCCCUCUGCACAGAUGCGUCUCUCCUGGCCCUCCCUCGUUAUGGCUACUUACCUGCAAAUGCCAGCCUGGCUGCCUGCUACUUCCUGGGGUGCAAGCUUGCCCCACGGUUACAAGUGUGGGCUCCAGAAACAGGCUGAGCUGUAUCCCAACUCUGGCUCCUCCCCAAGUGUGAUCUCAGCUAUAACUUAUCUUUCUGUAAGAAGCUUCUGCUCUCAUGGCAUCCAUGCGUGUCUGAGCCCCCUACCUUUCAAAUAACAGCCUUAAUGAAAUAUAAUUCACAUACCCUAUAGUUCACCUACUUAAAGCGCACAAUUCAAUAGUUUUUAGUAUGUUCAUAGAGUUGUGCAACCAUCACCACAGGCACUUUUCAAACAUUUCCAUUACAUACCCUCCAAAAAAUCCUGAACCCAUUAGCAGUCGCUCCUCUCCCCACUGCCAACUCUGGACAACCACUGAUCGACUUUCCGUCUCUAUGGAUUUGCCUAUUCUGGACACUUCAUCUAAAUGGAAUCAUGUAAUAUGUGCUUUUUGGUGACCGGCUUAUUUCACUCUGCAUAAUGUUUUCAAAGUUCAUCCACGCUGCAGUGUGUAUCAGAACUUUAUUCUUUUUUAUUGCUGAAUAACAUUCCAUCGCUGGAUACACUACCUUUUGUUUAUCCAUUCAUCAAUUGGUUGGAUGUUUGUUUUGCUUCCACUUUUUGGCUACCGUGCAUAAUGCUAUUUGAACAUUGAUGUGCAAGUUUUUAUGUGGACAUAUGUUUUCAGUUUUCUUGGGUGUAAAUCUAGAAGUAGAAUUUCUGGGUUGUAUAACUCUAUGCUCAACUUUUAGAGAAACUGCCAGACUGUUUUCCAAUGGUCCUAAGCGUUUUUGCCACCAGCUGCUCCAAGCUCUUCCCCUGCUGUAUGGUGGGAGGGCUGACCUCGGCAGGCUCCCAUGUCGGCUGGAUUCUAGCUGUGUUCAACCAGUGGGAGGCAGAGUUUG
ensembl:lncRNA